UACGUAGGGUGCGAGCGUUGUCCGGAAUUAUUGGGCGUAAAGAGCUCGUAGGCGGUUUGUCGCGUCUGCCGUGAAAGCCCGGGGCUCAACUCCGGAUCUGCGGUGGGUACGGGCAGACUAGAGUGAUGUAGGGGAGACUGGAAUUCCUGGUGUAGCGGUGAAAUGCGCAGAUAUCAGGAGGAACACCGAUGGCGAAGGCAGGUCUCUGGGCAUUAACUGACGCUGAGGAGCGAAAGCAUGGGGAGCGAACAGG
rnacentral:rRNA from 1 species